AUGCCCUUGGUCUGGAAGCCAGCCCUGGGACAAGCGGCGGGCGGGGGUGGGGGGCGGGUUGGAGAGCCCUGUCCUCGGGCAGCUGAGGGACUUGCUAGACCGACCACAGGAAAGGGACCAGGCCCGGGGCACGCACUCCCCCCCUCCCGAAUUUGUCUUCGGCCCGUCUCCCUGGCCCCCUUUCUCCGCCUUUCCCGCUCUCCAUCUUUUCCUCCUCCCUCCUUGGGCCCCCGCUCCAGCUCUCCCUUCUUCCCGUCGCUCCCCACGCCCUCUCCUUCUGGUGCAGGCGUCUCUCCGCGGCGCACCGAGCCUCCGGCCACGCCGAGCGGGGCUCUCGGGACGGCGCAGCCCGCGGGGAGGCCGCCCUCGGGGCUGGCGGGGCCGGGCCCGACUGCGCGGCCCGCGGGGAGGCCGAGCGGCGCCAGAGGGUUGGCGGGGAGGGAGUCCGGGCGCGCCAGGAGCGGGGCAGCCGCGGCCCCGGGUCGGCCCGGCGGAGCCGCAGUGAGUAGGAAAAGCUGUGGAAAUACACCCGGAUCGCAAGGCCCCUGGCUCGCGUGAGCCUACCCCAGGAGAAGCAGCCCAGUUACCCGACAUGGUGGUCAGCAGACGCUGGGGCGCUGGCUGGAUGCUGAAGCUGCAGGGACUCGGCGCCUCCCAGGGCUCCUGUGCAGGGAGAGAAGCAGAGAUGCAGCAUUUUUAAAGUUUCACAAAGCAUCCAGCUGCACCCAGGUUCCUGGAGCAGGAGACAAACAGAAUUAAUGUUUUAUACCUUCGGGUAUAGGUUUGAGUUUUUUCCCCCUCAUGCCAAGUAUUUAAAACCUCUAGAAACCCAUGAUUUGACAAUCAAUGAUUGCGCGAUACUUUCAAUUUGAAUAUUCAAAGGCUUCACAAAAUGGACUAUCUUCUGCAGAAAUCCUGCACACAGCCUCCCCACAGACAGUCCAAAGAAACAGGGAGUGAGACCCCUUUGGGUCCUGGGCCUUGCUUUUAGUGUAUUUUAAACAUUUUGCCCACCUUUCCACAGACAGAGCAGGAGUCCUCAAAGAUGCUCUGUAUUUCUGCCUCAAAGGCAGCUCCGGGAGCCCCGAGUGACUUAGGGGGCCCUUCAUGACCGCCCGAGCCAGGCUGGCCCAUCAGACUGAUUCCCGUAUCCCUAGUCUCUGUUUUAAGGGAAAAUCUCGGCUUUCGGGGAGUGAACAUGGCAGCCAGCAGGUUCGGCAUAGGAGGGAGUCACCCUGGCUCCAGGUUACAGGCCUCAGGCCUGGCAGAGGCCUCAGCUCUGUGUCUCAUCUCCUUCUGGCCCCGCCUGGCCACCCGUGGCUUCCCUGCCUUUGGUCAGCUCUCUGCCUGGGCUCCCGACACUGCCGGUUCAAGUCAGAAUGCCUGCCCAUUCAGACCCUUUGCUCCUCCACCAGGAGCUGGGAUGUCUGUGGGGCCUCACCCUCGAGAUUUUCCAAGGCUGGCGUCUCUUGCACUGUGAGGUUCCCCCUCCUCUCCUCUUUCUCUGUCUUGAGCCGUCCCUGCCCUUUGUGCUGCAGGAGCAUGUGUUGAGAAGCAA
rnacentral:lncRNA from 1 species